rnacentral:rRNA from 1 species
AGUGAACGCUGGCGGUAGACCUAACACAUGCAAGUCGAACGGCAGCACAGUAAGAGCUUGCUCUUACGGGUGGCGAGUGGCGGACGGGUGAGGAAUACAUCGGAAUCUACUUUUUCGUGGGGGAUAACGUAGGGAAACUUACGCUAAUACCGCAUACGACCUACGGGUGAAAGCAUGGGAUCUUCGGACCUUGCGCGAUUGAAUGAGCCGAUGUCGGAUUAGCUAGUUGGCGGGGUAAAGGCCCACCAAGGCGACGAUCCGUAGCUGGUGUGAGAGGAUGAUCGGCCACACUGGAACUGAGACACGGUCCAGACUCCUACGGGAGGCAGCAGUGGGGAAUAUUGGACAAUGGGCGCAAGCCUGAUCCAGCCAUACCGCGUGGGUGGAGAAGGCCUUCGGGUUGUAAAGCCCUUUUGUUGGGAAAGAAAAGCAGCAGGUUAAUACCCCGCUGUUCUGACGGUACCCAAAGAAUAAGCACCGGCUAACUUCGUG